UUAUAAAAAAAAAAAAGACAACUGAAGAGAAGCAGGGUAAAAUAAUGGCGCUUUCCGUUCGAAAAAGAAAACAUUAUUUACGUAAACGUUAGCGCUUGAAAGGGUUAUCAUCGCGGAAAAUCGGUUAUCAUCGCGGAAAACCCUCUCCGUUCGAUGAUCGGGCGCCAUAUUGUAUUCUAUGCCGCACGGUCGGGGGCGAGCGCAAAAACGGACGCAGGGCAGAGUGGAAAGGAGAGAGGGAAGAGAGAAAAAACUUCCCUCUCUCCUUGUCGGUUGAAGGGUAUCCAACCGAUAAAAAAGGGCACUUUUUUUUCUUGUUGUUCCAAAUUGGAUAAAAUAACGCAAAACCAGUUUCUUUCUUAUAGCCUUGCAUAUUCUCUCUAAUCUUCGCUCAUAGUAUUCCUUUUUAGAAAUAACUAAGAAACCUGUUUAAAGGGGCAGUAUGACGAUGUUCUUAAAAUACGUCCUCUAGCGCGGAAAUGUAAAGAUCAAGCGUUAAACUAUCAGGUUCCAAACGCUCCAAGUGAAAUAUCGAGUGGAAGUAUGCUGAAAUACAGCAAUUUUUGGCCGCCAUUAUUCAGUUGGAAUCGAACGAUCGAACGCUGUGAUGUCACUUGUCCCCAAAAUCAAGCUAUGGGAUGGAAUGCCUCGCUCUAAGUCGCAAAAAAUCACAGCACGCACAGAGAUUGGGAUGAGGAUUUAGCCAGAGAAUUCAGCGCAAUACGAUUUAAUCAAUGCAAGUACCCCCAAAUUGGAUAGGCUAGAGGUCUGUCGUGCUGAAACGUUGAAUAAGCAAGCUAAAAAGUGGAAGGAGAAAGCCCUGAAACAGAAAGACUAAAGCCAAGUAACAACCGUCUUGACUUGUGAAUUACCCAAAACAAACUGCAUGAUGGAGAGUUAAGAAUACGAUCUUACGAGCUCAGAAGAACGAUGGGAACCCAAAUAAUAUAUAUCUCAGUUGUGUGACACCAUAUGAAGAGAAGUGCAAUGUCCGGUAAAAAAAUAAUAAAAACUUUACGGGAAAAAGUUAGUUGUUUCCUUAUGUUUGUACAGCGCCUUUUUACAAGCGCGCGCCAUUUUGAUUUUGAAAGGCACCCCUUUGAAAUGAAAGUCCGAAUGUGAAAGUACAGCUCCGCAAUACUUUACUAUAAUUGAAAAAUUGGUUGUUUUCGAUUUCUUGCACUUAUGUCCUAAAACUACACUACCCUUGCUACAUCACUAGCCUAAUGCUACAUCUAAAUUUAGAACAAAAGAAAUUAGCUGGACUUGAAAGUAUUCAUGACAAACAUCAUGACAAAGCAGCUUUGUGGAUUCAGUUUCAGUUUCAGUUUCAGUUUCAGUUUAUUGUUUUGUCACUUAAUACAUUUUUUUAAAUAAAGAUAAUUAUAAUAAUUUACAUAGUGUGACAAGGAGGACCGUAAGAAACCGCAAUAUGUGAUUAUAUAACAAAGGCACCCCUUUGAAAUGAAAGUCCGAAAGUGAAAGUACAGCUCCGCAAUACUUUACUAUAAUUGAAAAAUUGGUUGUUUUCGAUUUCUUGCACUUAUGUCCUAAAACUACACUACCCUUGCUACAUCACUAGCCUAAUGCUACAUCUAAAUUUAGAACAAAAGAAAUAGCUGGACUUGAAAGAAUGUAUUCAUGACAAACAUCAUGACAAAGCAGCUUUGUGGAUUCAAAUAUUCAAACAAAAGAAAUAGCUGGACUUGAAAGAAUUUAUUCAUGACAAACAUCAUGACAAAGCAGCUUUGUGGAUUCAAAUAUUCAGUAAGUUAUAUUACUUAUUCACCAUAUGUGAUUAUAUAACAUUUUAACUAAUGACAUCACAUACUCACCAUAUUUGUGAGUGUGGAAAUAGUUUUGAUUUAAUAUCAACCACGAUCAAAACUUUACAACAACAAUUUAUUGUCAAUUCACAAUUGAAUUAAGUUAGUCUAUGUUACUUGACUAAAAAAAAUCCAAGUUGAUAGCUAUUAAUUACAGCAUCACUAUUUGUUCACUUACCUGGUACAUAGAAUCUGGAGAAACUUCCAUUCAUAUUUGUAUAGACAUAUUUGUAUAUGAGCAUAUUUUCAUGAAAUUGACAUUAAUAAAAAAAUAUUUCAAGACAUCUUCCCAAAAUAGCAAUCACAUGGAUUCUUCAUAAGUUCAACAACUCCUCCAGAGAUUGGUAAAUGAUGUACAGUAGGAGUUUAUAGAAUCUAAAACCAAUAACC